UUGCAAUGAUGUCAACCUUUGACUGAAGUGACCUUGAAGUGCAAUUACUGAGCUUUUUAACCCUGAGCAAU
ensembl:snoRNA Gm24134 small nucleolar RNA SNORD36